UAAUUUUAAAUUGAAAUUCUGAUAACGAGUCACUACAACCUCCGGCCCGCUGGACCGACGACCUACAUAAGAUUUCUGGUGUAGACUGGAUGAGGAUUGCGGAAAAUUGGGAUGUCUGAUGUGAACUUCGGGAGGCCUAUGUCUAGCAGUGGCCUAUAGGCUGAACUGACAGACUGACUGACUGACUGACAAGAUUUUCGCUAUAAAUCACUAAUUCUAAAAUAAGAAGUGAUAGAGGAUUUUAAUGUGCUAAGAAGUAAUAAGCUAAAUCGAAGAUUAACGUUUUGAUAU
rnacentral:misc_RNA from 1 species